rnacentral:lncRNA from 1 species
GUCCAGGCUGGAGCGCGAUCUGGAAUCUGACUCGCUGGAAACAGCACCGCGGUGGAUUCGGACCUGGCUUCCCUUGUCAGUCACGCAGCUGAAAGCAGGAAGAAGCUUUCUCUUCUGCACUUGGAACAACAAGGUGAAGAUGACAGAGAGUCCCACAUCUACCAUGGAAAAGGCAAUGGUCCCUAAAUCAUGCCAAGUUUUCUAAUGACAUGUGUUUUCCCGCAACAUGUAACUAUAUGUCCUCCCUUCAAGCACCAGUUAUCACAGUACAAACACAGCAACAGCAUAAAGGAAUGACUACUGAGCCUGAAGCUCUGAUGGAUGCUCUGAGUUGAGACUUUGUUUUAUACUUAGGUACCUGUGAGUCAUUGCAGAGUUUUGCCUGACUCCACCAUGACCCAAUUUGAUCAAGGUCUAUAUGCUAUGAGACCUCUCUAGUUCCUCAUCAGAAAUUAUAAUGAAUACCAUGUCCAGCUCCUGAGGUGCCUGAUGGCAACGAGCGGCAGCUCCUCUUGGGGCAACACUUUGGGGGUGACCAAGGCCUCACAGACCUCACUACUGCUGGGCUACAUGGCCCAAGGCUCCUGGGCGCAAUGGAUCGGUGGUCUUGGAUUCGCCUCGGACAUUUAAUGACAUUUGUUCUUGGGCUUUCACAAGUGGUCUCUGGUUGAGAUGGAAGGAAAGGACGCAGGGACACAAAAUCUCUGACUGCCCAGGGACCCCCUCACCGUCCUCACUUCCACUCAAGACGACAUGGCCGUUCCACUAAAUUCCCGAGGACAUGGCCAACAUGAGUAACAACACAGGGAAGUGCCUUACACAGAGUUCCAUGGAAGCCUGGCUAGUACCCUCUAGACCAUUUACCUACACCUGUUGGGAUCUCUCUAGCAUGAAAUGCUCCAGAGGCAGUCAUGCCAUAAGCUUGGAUCCUCCAGCCAUUGAGUGUGAGGGUCUUAGCCCGGUCUAAAUGAGCACUGAAUUCUAGAGAGACCAAGGGACUGUCUAAGUUCUGAAUUCUGAGUCCUGAAUCCUGGAAGUUGGCUUCUGGCCAGGGAGCAGGUGUUACUGCCUCUGAUCCACAAAAGCAGCCCCACAGCUCAAGUUGCUCUUCUGGAUUUCUCCCCUCUCCUGGUUCCUGGCCAGGCAAAUCUUCACUGCUUUGUUAGCCCAUCCAUUUGCUCAACCAGAUUUUUCAAAUAUGUAUGUUUUCCUCCUUUUCCCAUUGUACUCAGUGGAAGGAAUGGUCUAAAUUACCUAAUCAGCAAUUCCUGGAAACCAAGCCACCAUGUACAUACAAUCUUAUACGU